UACAGAGGUCCCAAGCGUUGUUCGGAUUUACUGGGCGUAAAGGGUGCGUAGGUGGCCGGGUAAGUCUGACGUGAAAUCUCCGAGCCUAACUCGGAAACUGCAUCGGAUACUAUCCGGCUCGAGGGUUGGAGGGGGGACUGGAAUACUUGGUGUAGCAGUGAAAUGCGUAGAUAUCAAGUGGAACACCAGUGGCGAAGGCGAGUCCCUGGACAACUCCUGACACUGAGGCACGAAAGCUAGGGGAGCAAACAGG
rnacentral:rRNA from 1 species